rnacentral:rRNA from 1 species
CAGCGAGUGGGGAAUAUUGCACAAUGGGGGAAACCCUGAUGCAGCCAUGCCGCGUGUGUGAAGAAGGCCUUCGGGUUGUAAAGCACUUUCAGUAGGGAGGAAGGUAGUGUAGUUAACACCUGCAUUAUUUGACGUUACCUACAGAAGAAGCACCGGCUAACUCCGUGCCAGCAGCCGCGGUAAUACGGAGGGUGCGAGCGUUAUCCGGAUUUAUUGGGCGUAAAGAGAGUGCAGGCGGUUUUCUAAGUCUGAUGUGAAAGCCUUCGGCUUAACCGGAGAAGUGCAUCGGAAACUGGAUAACUUGAGUGCAGAAGAGGGUAGUGGAACUCCAUGUGUAGCGGUGGAAUGCGUAGAUAUAUGGAAGAACACCAGGUGGCGAAGGCGGCUACCUGGUCUGCAACUGACGCUGAGACUCGAAAGCAUGGGUAGCGAACAGGAUUAGAUACCCUGGUAG